GCACAAGCGGGGGGCAGUGGUUUAUUUUGAAGCAACGCGCAGAACAAUACCACCCUUUGACAUAUCCUGUGGACAGGAGACAGGAUUUUUCAGUUCGGGGCGGAACACAGGUGCUGCAUGGCUGUCGUCAGCUCGUGUGUGAGAUGUUGGGUUAAGUCCCGCAACGAGCGCACCCCUUCCCUUAGUUGCCAUCAUUCGUUUGGGCACUUUAAGGGGACUCCGGUGAUAACCGAGAGGAAGGUGGGGAUGAGUCAAGUCCUCAUGGCCCUUACGGGUGGGUUACACACUUGUACAAGGCGGUGACAAUGGGCAGCAACCCGGAGGGGAGAAUUCCAAAAACCCUUCAGUUCCGAGGCACUGGCAACUGGAG
rnacentral:rRNA from 1 species